CAUGAGCUUUUGUUGUUUGUUUGAUUCAAAAUAAAUCAAAGUGACUUCAUUUUGACCACUCACAUGAAGACUGAAAACCUUUAUAAACACCAUGGAAAUUACAGAAGGAACGCCUUCUCCAAAGCACAGAAACUGCUCCUCGGAUACCCUUCCCACUUGCUAACAUGCACCGUAAUGGCCUAGAGAUGCACAUUACAACUAGCAAGGGUGAGCUCCUGUGUAGCUUGGUCUCCUUCCUCUCUCAGACAUAUCGUAGAGAAGAUGGACCUUUCCUUCCGCCAUCUCUGCUAAUCGAUGAUGUUUGAGCUCUUCGUUGGGGAAGACGUCAGCCGUUGAUUCACUGCAGUUGCCAACCAUUG